CUUCUCUGAGCAUCCAGCCUCUAGGAGCUGUGCCUCCUGGCCUAUUCCUGUUCGUGGAUUGUCUGGAUGCAUCCUUGAGACU
ensembl:miRNA MIR8056 microRNA 8056